AUGGGGGUGGUGCGGGAGGUGCUGGGCGACUCUGUCGCCGACGAGGUGGACGACCCCAUCGUCUCCUACAUCGCCAACGCCCUCGCCGAUCAGGACUUCGACUUCGGCCCCUCCGAUGGGCACGGCAACUUCGACGCCCUCGGCGACCUCCUCAUCGACGCCCGCUACGUCUACGACCGCCCGCGAGCACUGCCUCGAGGUACCAGCCGUGCGCAGCCUUGCCACCCUCUGCGCAUGAACACGGGGAUGGAGGAGGAGGUCGCGCUGAGGAAGUCAGAGAAUAUCUUCGAUGCGCCCUUGCUGUCCUGUCGUGACAAAGCCAAGAUUGAACGGAACAAGAGAAACCAAGAGAGGCAAAGAGAGGGCCAGUACCAAAUGCAUGUUGCCGAAAUUAGGGUACUCAGAGCUGGAAUGCCUCCAGUUGGUCUUGUUGGAAGAAAUGGUACUGGAAAGACUCCUCUUCUCAGAGCUAUGGCUCAUCAUGCAAUUGAUGGAAUUCCUAAGAACUGCCAGAUAUUGCAUGUUGAACAAGAGGUCACGGGUGAUGACACAACAGCUUUGCAGUGUGCACUGAAUGCUGAUGUUGAGCGGGUCCAACUUAUGCAUGAAGAGGCCCAUCUGGGUCAGUUACUGAAAGAUCUAGAGAAUGAGGCAGAGUCAAAACAGAGCCUAGACAAGAGCAAGGGUGAUGUGACAAAGAUGCUAUCAGCAAGAGGCUUGACGAGAUAUACAAGUGACUUGAACCUGUUGAUGCAGAUGCAGCAGAAGCUCGUGCGGCAUCAAUCCUGGAGGGUCUCAGUUUCACUCCAGAAGUGCAAUGCAGAAAUACAAGAUCAUUUUCGAGAAUAG
rnacentral:rRNA from 1 species